rnacentral:rRNA from 1 species
UACGUAGGGUGCAAGCGUUGUCCGGAAUUAUUGGGCGUAAAGGGCUCGUAGGCGGCGUGUCGCGUCGGGGAGUGAAAGCCCGCUGCUUAACGGCGGGUUGGCUUCCGGUACGGGCAUCGCUGGAGUGCGGCAGGGGAGACUGGAAUUCCUGGUGUAGCGGUGGAAUGCGCAGAUAUCAGGAGGAACACCGGUGGCGAAGGCGGGUCUCUGGGCCGUUACUGACGCUGGAGGAGCGAAAGCGUGGGGAGCGAACAGG